rnacentral:rRNA from 1 species
GCUUGACUGUUAGCUUGUAAUUGGGUUCGGGCUUUUUUGCGCAGCCUAGGUGGGAGGCAACGAUGAUUUUUUUUCCGGAAAAAUUUGAGCCGUUAGUGAGAGACCACUCUGAAAAGGCUAGAAUCCUAAUAAUGAUCCUUGAAUCAGGACAUUUGACAGUUGCAGGUGGGCAGUUUUACUGGGGCGGUAUUCUCCUAAAAAGUAACGGAGGGGUGCAAAGGUUCCCUCAAGCUGGACGGAAAUCAGCUUAAGAGUGUAAAGGCAAAAGGGAGCUUGACUGCAAGACCUACAAGUCGAGCAGGGGCGAAAGCCGGCCUUAGUGAUCCGACGGUACCACGUGGAAGGGCCGUCGCUCAACGGAUAAAAGUUA